rnacentral:tRNA from 1 species
UCCCUAGUAGCUCAGAUGGUAAAGCAUCUGCCUGCAAUGCAGGAGACCUAGGUUUGAUCCCUGGGUAGGGAA